CACGUAGGGCGCAAGCGUUGUCCGGAAUUAUUGGGCGUAAAGAGCUCGUAGGUGGUUUGUUACGUCUGCUGUGAAAACCUAGGGCUUAACCCUGGGCUUGCAGUGGAUACGGGCAGACUAGAGGUAGGUAGGGGAGAAUGGAAUUCCUGGUGUAGCGGUGAAAUGCGCAGAUAUCAGGAGGAACACCGGUGGCGAAGGCGGUUCUCUGGGCCUUACCUGACGCUGAGGAGCGAAAGCGUGGGGAGCAAACGGG
rnacentral:rRNA from 1 species